rnacentral:misc_RNA from 1 species
CCGAGUUUACAACUCCCAAACCCAUGUGAACAUACCUAUCGUUGCUUCGGCGGGUUCGCCCCGGGCGUCUUGUGCGCCCUGGGUCCGCCGGGGGACACAAACUCUUGUUUUCCUUUAGCAUCUUCUGAGUACUGUUUUUACAAAUAAAUAA